CUGUCGUCAGCUCGUGUCGUGAGAUGUUCGGUUAAGUCCGCUAACGAGCGCAACCCUCGCCGUAUGUUACAAGUGUCAUACGGGACUGCCGGUAAAAGCCGGAGGAAGGUGAGGAUGAUGUCAAGUCAGCAUGACCUUUAUAUCCAGGGCUACACACACGCUACAAUGGUCUGUACAAUUGGUUGCCAAGCCGCGAGGCGGAGCCAAUCCGUAAAGCAGGCCUCAGUUCAGAUUGCAGUCUGCAACUCGACUGCAUGAAGCCGGAGUUGCUAGUAACCGCAGGUCAGCAAUACUGCGGUGAAUACGUUCCCGGGUCUU
rnacentral:rRNA from 1 species